rnacentral:lncRNA from 1 species
GGGAGGUGGGGCCUAGUGGGAGGUAUUUGGGUCACAGGGCAGAUCCUUUAUGAAUAGAUUAAUGCCUUUUCAUGGGACUGGAUUAGUUACCAGGAGUGGAUUGUUAUCAGAGUGAGUUCAGCUUCCUAGACUCUCGUGUUUCCUCUCUUGCCAUGUGAGCCCCUUGCGUACACCUGUUUCGCCUUCCACUUUCCCCAUGAGAUGAAGCAGCCCAAGACCCUCGCCACUUGUGCUGCCCGAUCUCGGACUUUUCAGACACAAGCAGGCGUGCUGCUUUGCUGUAUGUGUGCCCUGUGGAAUGCUUCGUGGUGCUGCUGCACACCUCCAUCACCUACUGCGGUGAGGGCCCCUGGGAUCUGCGCUCCCGGCGCUGUGCCCUCGCCCCACCGCUGUGCCUGAGCGCCCCCCCAUCCCGCCCGGGGACCCGCGCCCGCUCCUGGAACCGCACCCAUGGCCAGCACCCUGUCCCCAACCCCGCUUUAGUUUCCACCCACGCGAAGAAACUCAGCCUCGGUCCUGUUUAGGCACGGAAAGGGCUGGAGAACCGCGUCCUUCCGAGGCGCCCCCAGCGCGGCUCCCCACAGCGUGCAGGACCCCGGACUGUCGCGCCGCGCCUGGGGACGCACAGGAGGUGGGAUCCAGGAGCGAAGCCCCUGCAGCGUCCCAGACUGGACGUGGCCCUGCACCCCCAGCUGCUGGGCUGGCCGGGACAUGCAUGAGAUCGCGCGCUUUACAAACUGUUGUUCUUUCUGGGAAAGUUAAAGAACGCGCUGCAGCCGCUUCGCCUGCUGCUGAAAGGAGCCAGGCAGGGCUGGUCACUCCGCGCCACGCCCCGUGCGCCAACACCGGAAGGCUACAAGGUUCAUCUGCAAGUUUCUUCAAAUGGUUGCAAUGCUUACUGCAACCUCCAUCUCCUAGGCUCCAGUGAUCCUCCUGCCUCAGCCUCCCAAAGUGCUGGGAUUACAAGCAUGAGCUACUACAUCUGUCCAAAAGCUGCAUUUCCAAGACCAGAUUUAACCAAACUGCAAAGUCUGAGGGCAUGGUUCCUAAAAUUUCCCUCAUUCCUGACACCAACAGCAAGUUUUAGAGGUUUCCAAAGCACCCU